rnacentral:rRNA from 1 species
UACGUAGGUGGCGAGCGUUAUUCGGAUUCACUGGGCGUAAAGGGUCCGUAGGGGGUCUGCCAAGUCUGAUGUGAAAGCCCGCGGCUCAACUGCGGAACGGCAUUGGAUACUGGCGGGCUGGAGUCUGCGAGGGGUGAGCGGAAUUCCUGGUGUAGCGGUGGAAUGCGUAGAUAUCAGGAAGAACACCGAUGGCGAAGGCGGCUCACUGGCGCAGUACUGACCCUGAGGGACGAAAGCGUGGGGAGCAAACAGGAUUAGAUACCCUGGUAGUCCACGCCUUAAACGUUGUGCACUAGAUGUGGGGGGUUUGACCCCUUCCGUGUCCAAGCUAACGCGAUAAGUGCACCGCCUGGGGACUACGGCCGCAAGGCUA